rnacentral:rRNA from 1 species
AUGGCGAACCGCCCGGGCUGCAUGUAUUCGCUGCGCCGCUUCGAUCUGUCCCGCAACCAGUUUUUCUACUCAACACCGGAAGAAGUAGCUUUACAUGGGCGAGUCCUGCCGCCGAUACAAAGAGAUUCUUCAUCAUCCCUGAGCAAGGCCAGCGGCAGGGUCAAGAAGCAGCAAGCCUCAGAGAUUCGGACGAUUCGGUUGCCGUCACCACUCGUCAACAUGCGGCCGGCGCCAUACCCGAAGCCUAAGUCCGACGAACUCAGACUGGAUGUGUUCGCUCUCUCGGAACGCAACAUCGUGUUCGCAGACCGCCAAAGACACGUCUUCACCUACGACACUGACUCGGAAUGCUUGGUCACCAUGCCCAACCUCCACGCUCCCAAGGUUGAUCCAUUGGCCAUCUCUAUUCCUCGUCCCGGAGGUGGUGAAGGCAGCCUCUACAUGAUCGAGAGGCUGCUAUGUCCUGGCAAGAGCUUCCAGUUCGAGGCCCUUGUGUCCGGCCAGCACUACAAUGAGUCCCAUCCCUGCAGGACCUGGCAAUGUGACGAGCUCCCGCUGCCGCCACUGGAAGAAGAAAUAUUCAUCGACUCCUGUGCAGUGGUGGGCAACGUCAUCUGCAUCUCUGCAUCUGGCUUUGGCAGCUACUGCUUUGACACGCUGAGCCACUCCUGGAGCCGUGUUGGUGACUGGGUGUUGCCCUUCUUUGGCACCGCGUAG